rfam:Brachypodium distachyon strain Bd21 chromosome 2, whole genome shotgun sequence.
GAUAUAUUCCCUCCGUCCCAAAUUAAGUGACUCAAAUUUGUCUAAAAAUGGACGUAUCUAUGUACUAAAAUACGUCUGGAUAUAUGUAAUCUUUCGGCACUUAAUAUGGGACGGAGGGAGUAUAUG